rnacentral:rRNA from 1 species
CGACGGGUGAGUAACACGUACCCAACCUGCCUCUCUCUUGGACAGCCUUCUAGGAAAAGGGAAUUAAUACAAGAUGGCAUCAUGAGUCCGCAUGUUCACAUGAUUAAAGGUAUUCCGGUAGACGAUGGGGAUGCGUUCCAUUAGAUAGUAGGCGGGGUAACGGCCCACCUAGUCUUCGAUGGAUAGGGGUUCUGAGAGGAAGGUCCCCCACAUUGGAACUGAGACACGGUCCAA